UACAGAGGGUGCAAGCGUUGUUCGGAAUUACUGGGCGUAAAGCGCGUGUAGGCGGUCUGCCAAGUCUGAUGUGAAAGCCCUGGGCUCAACCCAGGAAGUGCGUCAGAUACUGGUGGACUGGAGUGGCGGAGAGGAUGGCGGAAUUCCCGGUGUAGAGGUGAAAUUCGUAGAUAUCAGGAGGAACACCGGCGGUGUAGACGGCUUUCUGGACCGUAGCUGACGCUGAGACACGAAAGCGUGGGUAGCAAACAGG
rnacentral:rRNA from 1 species